rnacentral:rRNA from 1 species
AGUGAAUAGACUACCCGGGUAGUCCUGGCCCUAAACGAUGAAUACUUGGUGUCUGGGAGUUAUUUAGUGCUCCGGGUGCCGUCGCUAAAACGUUUUAGUAUUCCGCCUGGGGAGUACGCUCGCAAGAAGUGAAACUACAAAGGAAGUUGACGGGGACCCGCACAAGCGGUGGAGCAUGUGGUUUAAAUUCGACGCAACGCGAAGAACCUUACCUAGGCUAGAAUGGUGAGGGAAGAAAGGGUAAUUCCGAUCGUCCGGGAAACCGGACCCAAACAAAGGUGCUGCAUGGCUGUCGUCAGCUCGUGUCGUGAGAUGUUGGGUUAAG